rnacentral:rRNA from 1 species
UACGAAGGUCCCGAGCGUUAUCCGGAUUUAUUGGGUUUAAAGGGUGCGUAGGAGGGCAGGUAAGUCAGUGGUGAAAUCCCCGAGCUUAACUUGGGAACUGCCGUUGAUACUAUCUGUCUUGAAUACCGUGGAGGUGAGCGGAAUAUGUCAUGUAGCGGUGAAAUGCUUAGAUAUGACAUAGAACACCAAUUGCGAAGGCAGCUCGCUACACGAAUAUUGACUCUGAGGCACGAAAGCGUGGGGAUCAAACAGGG